ensembl:lncRNA
GUGGCAGUCGCGCCGUCCUCCGGCGGUUACCGAUCUCCGCUUAUUCACUCGCGGCGCGACCUGUCUGUAGGGAGGGUGUGUGUCCCGUCCUGCCAGACGGCGCUGCGCCCUCCUCUCGCGGCAGCAAGCUGGCCAGCGCGGUUUCACGUUUCACAGAAUGCAGAGAUAUCUGGUGACCAGGUUCUGGAAGAGCCAGCAGUUUGGAGAGAGUGGAAAAAGGAUUGGUCCCAGGGGAACAGUUGUUACUGAGAG